AACAGGAUUAGAUACCCUGGUAGUCCACGCCCUAAACGAUGUCUACUAGUUGUCGGGUCUUAAUUGACUUGGUAACGCAGCUAACGCGUGAAGUAGACCGCCUGGGGAGUACGGUCGCAAGAUUAAAACUCAAAGGAAUUGACGGGGACCCGCACAAGCGGUGGAUGAUGUGGAUUAAUUCGAUGCAACGCGAAAAACCUUACCUACCCUUGACAUGUACAGAAUCCCGAAGAGAUUUGGGAGUGUUCGAAAGAAAACUGUAACACAGGUGCUGCAUGGCUGUCGUCAGCUCGUGUCGUGAGAUGUUGGGUUAAGUCCCGCAACGAGCGCAACCCUUGUCAUUAGCUGCUACGAAAGGGCACUCUAAUGAGACUGCCGGUGACAAACCGGAGGAAGGUGGGGAUGACGUCAAGUCCUCAUGGCCCUUAUGGGUAGGGCUUCACACGUCAUACAAUGGUACAUACAGAGGGCCGCCAACCCGCGAGGGGGAGCUAAUCCCAGAAAGUGUAUCGUAGUCCGGAUUGUAGUCUGCAACUCGACUACAUGAAGUUGGAAUCGCUAGUAAUCGCGGAUCAGCAUGUCGCGGUGAAUACGUUCCCGGGUCUUGUACACACCGCCCGUCACACCAUGGGAGCGGGUUUUACCAGAAGUAGGUAGCCUAACCGUAAGGAGGGCGCUUACCACGGUAGGAUUCGUGACUGGGGUGAAGUCGUAACAAGGUAACCGUA
rnacentral:rRNA from 1 species